CAAAAAAUAGUUUAAAUUUAAAACGUUAUCUUUGGAAGAUGGGGAUCGGUUUUAUAUCGUUUUUUGA
rnacentral:tRNA from 1 species